GGUGAGACUGGGUGUGACAGGGUGAGACUGGGUGAGACAGGGUGAUACUGGGUGAGACAGGGUGAGACUGGAUGAGACUGGGUGUGACAGGGCUAGACAGGGCAUGACAGGGCGAGACAGGGUGAGAAGGUGUGACAGGGUGAGACUAGGUGAGAAGGUGUGACGGGGUGAGACUAGGUGUGACAGGGUGAGACUGGGUGUGACAGGGUGAGACUGGGUGUGACAGGGUGAGACAGGGUGAGACUGGGUGUGACAGGGCUAGACAGGGCAUGACAGGGCGAGACAGGGUGAGACUAGGUGUGACAGGGUGAGACAGGGUGUGACAGGGUGAGACUGGGUGAGAAGGUGUGACAGGGUGAGACUGAGUGUGACAGGGUGAGACUGGGUGUGACAGGGUGAGACUGGGUGAGAAGGUGUGACAGGGUGAGACUGAGUGUGACAGGGUGAGACUGAGUGUGACAGGGUGAGACAGGGUGAGAAGGUGUGACAGGGUGAGACUAGGUGUGACAGGGUGAGACAGGGUGAGACUAGGUGUGACAGGGUGAGACAGGGUGGGACAGGGUGAGACUGGGUGAGAAGGUGUGACAGGGUGAGACUAGGUGUGACAGGGUGAGACUAGGUGUGACAGGGUGAGACUGGGUGUGACAGGGUGAGACUGGGUGUGACAGGGUGAGACUAGGUGAGAUCGGGUGAGACAGGGUGUGACAG
ensembl:lncRNA